rnacentral:rRNA from 1 species
UGGCGGACGGGUGAGUAGUGUCUGGGAAACUGCCCGAUGGAGGGGGAUAACUACUGGAAACGGUAGCUAAUACCGCAUAACGUCGCAAGACCAAAGAGGGGGACCUUCGGGCCUCUUGCCAUCGGAUGUGCCCAGAUGGGAUUAGCUAGUAGGUGGGGUAACGGCUCACCUAGGCGACGAUCCCUAGCUGGUCUGAGAGGGUGACCAGCCACACUGGAACUGAGACACGGUCCAG